GCUUGAUGAGGGGCCCGCGUCCGAUUAGCUAGUUGGUGAGGUAAUGGCUCACCAAGGCAACGAUCGGUAGCCGGCCUGAGAGGGCGGACGGCCACCCUGGGACUGAGACACCGCCCCGAAUCCUCCUACGGGAGGCAGCAGUGGGGAAUUGUUCGCAAUGGGCGCAAGCCUGACGACGCAACGCCGCGUG
rnacentral:rRNA from 1 species